GACGGAUCUAGUAGCCAAUCUAGUACACAUAUGGUCUCGGUAUUAGAAAGAAACAUGGCUAAUUUGGGAGGUGAGGAGAAUACAACACAAGAAAAUGAAAUGCCACCUCCACCUCCUCGACCACCUCAAGUACAAGUUCAACAACGUCAAAAUCAAUCACUACCUCCACGACCACGACCACCCAUUGUAAGGGGAAGGGCUCAACCAUCAACAUCAAGGGGAAGAUUACAAGUGCCAACAAGAAGGGGCCGAAGAGGCCGAAGAGGUCAACAAUCUUCAUAAACUUGAAACUUUGUUUAUUUGCUUUUGGUUUGUAACUUAAUUAUUAAAACUUUGGAUUGUAACUAAUUUUUUUGCUUUUGGUUUGUAACUUAAUUAUUAAAACUUUGGAUUGUAACU